GACGAACGCUGGCGGCGUGCUUAACACAUGCAAGUCGAACGAAGUGGCGAACGGGUGAGUAACGCGUAAUCAACCUGCCAUUAAGAGGGGGACAAAAGUUGGAAACGACUGCUAAUACCGCAUACUGAAGGAGGGGAUGGCGUGGGAUUGGGUAGUUGGAGGGGUAACUGCCAACCAAGGCGAUGAUCCGUAGCCGGUCUGGGAGGAUGGACGGCCACAUUGGGACUGAGACACGGCCCAGACUCCUACGGGAGGCAGCAGUGGGGAAUCUUCCGCCAUGGACGAAAGUCUGACGGAGCAACGCCGCGGGAGUGAUGACGGCCUUCGGGUUGUAAAGCUCUGUUAAUCGGGACGCGGUACCGGAAUAGAAAGCCACGGCUAACUACGUGCCAGCAGCCGCGGUAAUUC
rnacentral:rRNA from 1 species